GAAAUCGGGGGGCUGCCAUUCCGGUAUUGAAACCAACUGACUAUUUCUGUAAUCUGAUGUCUCUAGUACCUCGAUUACACAAAGCAAUUAGAGAGAUAUUUCGUUAAACAUCUCCAGUUAUUAGAAUGUUUCGAUCUAAAUGUUUAAUAUUGUUUAUUAUAAAAGUAACAUCGAUGUUUACGUCAUAUCAGGGAAUGCUCCGUCUUCGAUUUUACAAUGGACAGAUAAAUUAAUACGCGCCCAGUUUUAGCAGUUCCGACUGAAUUUAACGUCUGUUAUUUCUUUUGCAGAAUGCCUUGUUUCACAAAAAAGAACACUGUUCAGAUAUUUUCUCUGGACUGUCAAUUUCUGCAUUUCAUAAUCAUGUGAUACCUGUGUUGGAGCCCUCCCAAAAACCUCCCCUGUAAAAUUUCAAAGUUAAGGAGAUCAUUCAAAUGACAGAGGUUUUGGUCCAUCUUGGUUUGUCUCAACAGUUAAUCUUUUGGAAAGCAGUGUUGGAGAAAAUAUCAGCAACAUGUGAAGACUGUGAUUUAGUUUCAUAUGAUAUGACUAAAGAAAGUUAAUAUUUUUGAUUCCAUGGUUGUAUGAACAAAUGCUUUGAACUUUCCAAACAUCAUUGAAAAAGAAAAUAUGAUGACCAAACAAAAAUACAUAUUUGAACUUUCCACGAGUUUACAAUGAAGAACAUUUUGGGAUCUUGAUACAGGAUAUUAUUGUGUUUAGUGUUUUAGUGUUUUAUCUAAUUUAUUCAUAUUGUUUAGUGCAUUAAAUGCAAAAAAAUGUUUUAAAGUCACUCUUGUGAAACCCAUGCUAAGAACACAGGUCUCAAAUAUCUUAGAGAGUUAUAUUAGAGUUAUAUUGUUAGAAUUGAAGCUUAUUUAUACCUUAUAUCUUUAAAGAAAGUUUCACAAAAAAAUAGUCAAACUUGCAUAUACUGGUUAACAUGUUAAAAGAAAUAUAAUAUCCUGGAAGUGAUUAAGAAUAAAAAAAAAAGUUCAUUUAUCAUCC